rnacentral:misc_RNA from 1 species
GGUAAAAAGUAUAAGUAAAGAUUCCUUGAUUAAUUUAGGGUUAUUUUUAGUUUAGGUUGAGAUGUAUUUUUAUGUCUUGAUUGAUUAUUAGAAAUAAUUUUUAGUUUAUUUAAUUAACGAGUCUUGGUAAUUUUUGAAAACCGGUGUUGAGAUAUAGUUUUUGAUUGGUAUUASUUAAUAGAUUUUASAUUUAUUGAUAUAAGACUUUUUYGGGUUAUAUGUMUCCRGU